GAUGAACGCUGGCGGCGUGCCUAAUACAUGCAAGUCGAGCGAACAGACGAGGAGCUUGCUCCUCUGACGUUAGCGGCGGACGGGUGAGUAACACGUGGAUAACCUACCUAUAAGACUGGGAUAACUUCGGGAAACCGGAGCUAAUACCGGAUAACAUAUUGAACCGCAUGGUUCAAUAGUGAAAGACGGUUUUGCUGUCACUUAUAGAUGGAUCCGCGCCGCAUUAGCUAGUUGGUAAGGUAACGGCUUACCAAGGCAACGAUGCGUAGCCGACCUGAGAGGGUGAUCGGCCACACAGGAACUGAGACACGGUCCAGACUCCUACGGGAGGCAGCAGUAGGGAAUCUUCCGCAAUGGGCGAAAGCCUGACGGAGCAACGCCGCGUGAGUGAUGAAGGUCUUCGGAUCGUAAAACUCUGUUAUUAGGGAAGAACAAAUGUGUAAGUAACUAUGCACGUCUUGACGGUACCUAAUCAGAAAGCCACGGCUAACUACGUG
rnacentral:rRNA from 1 species